AGGACGAACGCUGGCGGCGCGCUUAACACAUGCAAGUCGAGCGAGAACCAAGCCUUCGGGCUUGGGGAAAGCGGCGAACGGGUGAGUAACACGUGGGUAACCCACCCUUGGUACUGGGAUAGCCCGGGGAAACCCGGAUUAAUACCGGAUAGCCCAACAGCUCUUAGGGGCGGUUGGAAAAGGUAGCUUCGGCCUCCGACCAAGGACGGGCCCGCGGCGGAUUAGCUUGUUGGUGAGGUAACGGCUCACCAAGGCGACGAUCCGUAGCUGGUCUGAGAGGACGAUCAGCCACACUGGGACUGAGACACGGCCCAGACUCCUACGGGAGGCAGCAGUGGGAAUCUUGCGCAAUGGGCGAAAGCCUGACGCAGCGACGCCGCGUGGGGGAAGAAGGCUUUCGGGUUGUAAAACCCCUUUCAGGAGAGACGAAGCCACUCAGGUUAAAUAGCCGAGAGGGUGACGGUACCUUCAGAAGAAGCCCCGGCUAACUACGUGCCACGCAGCCGC
rnacentral:rRNA from 1 species